UACAGAGGAUGCAAGCGUUAUCCGGAAUGAUUGGGCGUAAAGCGCACGUAGGCGGCAUUGCAAGUCGGAUGUGAAAUCCCUCGGCUUAAACCAAGGAAGUGCAUCCGAAACUGCAGUGCUUGAGUACUUAAGAGGAUCGCGGAAUUCCCGGUGUAGAGGUGAAAUUCGUAGAUAUCGGGAGGAACACCAGUGGCGAAGGCGGCGAUCUGGGAAGAUACUGACGCUGAGGUGCGAAAAGCGUGGGGAGCAAACAGG
rnacentral:rRNA from 1 species